GUGAAUCAUCAAAUUUUUGAACGCAAAUUGCACUCUCCUCGGAGAGUAUGCCUGUUUGAGGGUCAGCCUAUAAAAAAUCGACAUCGUUGCUGUUUCGCGGUGACGUUCGUCGGAAAUCGGGUUAUCUUAAAUCCUUUUGGUUUUAAGUGACUUAAAAUUUUCUUUCUGGUUCCUUGAACGUUUCUAAGAUUUAUUUCCUUUCACGUGUAUGGGUAUCGAUUUUUAUUAUACGUGACCAUCAUAUCGGAUCGCUCCCAUAUUC
rnacentral:misc_RNA from 1 species